AGGGCACAUGAAGGAUGCCUUGGUAUCGGCAGGCGAAGAAGGACGUGGUAAGCUGCGAAAAGCUUCGGGGAGCUGCACACGAGCAUUGAUCCGGAGAUAUCCGAAUGGGGCAACCCGGCUGGAGUAAUGUCCAGUCAUCUGUAACUGAAUCCAUAGGUUACAGAAGCGAGACGCAGGGAAGUGAAACAUCUCAGUACCUGCAGGAAAAGAAAUCAACAGAGAUUCCGCAAGUAGUGGCGAGCGAACGCGGAAGAGGCUAAACCGGUCGGUUUACUGACCGGGGUUGCGGGACUUCGACAACGGCAAGACCAAUCGAUAGCAGAAGGAUCUGGAAAGGUCCGGCAUAGAGGGUGAAACCCCCGUAAGCGAAAUUGAUUGUAAGCUGUGAAGUAUCCCAAGUAGGUCGGAACACGUGAAACUCUGACUGAAUCUGGGGAGACCACUCUCCAAGCCUAAAUACUAGCCGGUAACCGAUAGCGUAUAGUACCGCGAGGGAAAGGUGAAAAAGCACCCCGGAAGGGGAGUGAAAAGUAUCUGAAAUCAUGUGUCUACAAAGUGUGGGAGCGCAAGCGACCGCAUGCCUUUUGCAUAAUGAGCCUGCGACUUACUCUAACGAGCGAGGUUAAGCCUAGUGCGGAGCCGAAGCGAAAGCGAGUGUGAAUAGCGCGUCUAGUUCGUUGGAGUAGACCCGAAGCUGAGUGAUCUAUCCAUGGCCAGGUUGAAUCUGCGGUAACACGCAGUGGAGGACCGAACCAGUUCAUGUUGAAAAAUGUUUGGAUGAGCUGUGGAUAGGGGUGAAAGGCCAAUCAAACUCAGUGAUAGCUGGUUCUCUUCGAAAUAGCUUUAGGGCUAGCCUUGCGUAAAUAGUUUGCGGGGGUAGAGCUACUGAUUGUUCACGGGCCCUUACCGGGGUACCAAGAACUAUUAAACUCCGAAUACCGUAAACCGUACCGCAGGAGUCAGACUAUGGGGGAUAAGCUUCAUGGUCGAGAGGGAGACAGCCCAGACCGCCGGCUAAGGUCCCAAAUCUGGACUUAGUGGUUUGAAGGAUGUGAUGUUGCAUAAACAGCCAGGAUGUUGGCUUAGAGGCAGCCAUCAUUUAAAGAGUGCGUAAUAGCUCACUGGUCGAGUGAUAUCGCGCCGAAGAUGAUCGGGACUGAAGUCCAGAACCGAAGCCGCGGACCGUGAAUUUAUUCACGGUGGUAGAAGAGCGUUGUAUGCGGGUUGAAGCCGAAGAGUGAUCUGAGGUGGACUGCAUACAAGUGACCAUGCAGGCAUGAGUAGCGAAAAACCGGAUGAGAAUUCCGGUCACCGAAAACCUAAGGUUUCCCGGGGAAGGUUCGUCCGCCCGGGGUUAGUCGGAACCUAAGGCGAGGCCGAAAGGCGUAGUCGAUGGAGGACAGGUUAAUAUUCCUGUACCACCUUGCUGGAGUGAUGGAGGGACGCAGUAAGUCAGGCGAGCCAACUGCUGAAUAUGUUGGUCGAAUCCCGUAGGGCGUGUCAUAGGCAAAUCCGUGACACAACAGCCUGAGAGGCGUAAGGUAUCCGGGCGCAAGUCUGGAGAAUUCGCUGUGACUACACUGACGAGAAAAGCUUCUAAACGUCGAUAGCAGGGUGUCCGUACCGUAAACCGACACAGGUAGGUGAGGCGAGUAGCCUAAGGUGCGCGAGAGAAACCAACGUUAAGGAACUCGGCAAAUCAGCCCCGUAACUUCGGAAUAAGGGGUGCCGUUUCAGGUGGAGGGAUUUACUCCCCGAGCCCGGGACGGUUGCAAUAAAGAGGCCGGUGCGACUGUUUAACAAAAACAUAGCUCUAUGCUAACUCGUAAGAGGAUGUAUAUGGAGUGACACGUGACCAAUGCCAAAAGGUCAAUGGGAGAGGUUAGCGCAAGCGAAGCUUCGAUCUGAAGCCCUGGUGAAUGUCGGCCGUAACUAUAACGGUCCUAAGGUAGCGAAAUUCCUUGUCGGGUAAGUUCCGACCUGCACGAAUCGUGUAACGAUGCCAGCACUGUCUCAACGUGGAUCUCGGCGAAGUUGUAAUUCCGGUGAAAAUGCCGGAUACCUGCGGAAGGACGGAAAGACCCCAUGAACCUUUACUGUAAUCUGAUAUUGGUAUUUGGUUGCUCUUGUGUAGCAUAGGUGGGAGGCUGUGAAGCCGCUACGCCAGUACCGGUGGAGCCACAGGUGAAAUACCACCCUGGUGCAAUUAGAUAUCUAACGGACGCCCGUGAAUCCGGACUCCGGACCGUGUCAGAGGGUCAGUUUGACUGGGGCGGUUUCCUCCUAAAUUGUAACGGAGGAGCCCGAAGGUACACUCAGCACG
rnacentral:rRNA from 1 species